rnacentral:rRNA from 1 species
CUGGGACCUGAGACACGGCCCAGACUCCUACGGGAGGCACGCAGUGGGGAAUCUUGGACAAUGGGGGCAACCCUGAUCCACGCCAUGCCGCGUGAGUGAUGAAGGCCCUAGGGUCGUAAAGCUCUUUCGCCUGUGAAGCAUAAUGACGGUAGCAGGUAAAGAAACCCCGGCUAACUCCCGU